rnacentral:lncRNA from 12 species
GGGGGGGGGGGGGGGGGGGGGGGGGGGGGGGGGGGGGGGGGGGGGGGGGGGGGGGGGGGGGGGGGGGGGGGGGGGGGGGGGGGGGGGGGAGCGCGGAGCGGCGGCUCCGGUGGGUGCCGGGGCCGGGCGGGGGGAGCCCGGGUGUCCCCUCGGAGCCCCCCGGGCCGCCUCCCUCCCUCUGGGUCCGGAGAGGAGCAGGAACCCGCCGGGAGCGCCGGGGGCAGCGGCGGAGCCCGGCCGGGACGAGGAGCGGGAGGCGCCGGCAGCUGCGGGACCCUCCGUGCGCAGGAUGGGGGCUGUGCCCGCACGGCCAGCACAGGCUCCCUCCUUUCUGCCAACACAAAUGCAGCGUCCAGCACAUGAAGACAAAACACGCCGGAAUUCAGCCGUACUGUGAAGACAGAUCAGGUUUCAGAGGAUGCACUCGUGCAGAUGAAGAGUGAAGCGGCCAGCCCAGGUGGGUUGUAAACCAACUCCAUGGAUGCAUCUCAGGUUGUGCUGCCAAAGACUUGUAGCUGCUCUAACUCUGCUCUCAGGAUGCACGAACUCAAAUGUGCACUGACACAAAUGUUGACUGGCUCUGGCAGACCAGUCACAAAAUCCAGGUGUCUGCUUAAAUCGAAGCAAUUUG